GAUGAACGCUGGCGGCGUGCCUAAUACAUGCAAGUCGAGCGAACAGACGAGGAGCUUGCUCCUCUGACGUUAGCGGCAGACGGGUGAGUAACACGUGGAUAACCUACCUAUAGGACUGGGAUAACUUCGGGAAACCGGAGCUAAUACCGGAUAAUAUAUUGAACCGCAUGGUUCAAUAGUGAAAGACGGUUUUGCUGUCACUUAUAGAUGGAUCCGCGCCGCAUUAGCUAGUUGGUAAGGUAACGGCUUACCAAGGCAACGAUGCGUAGCCGACCUGAGAGGGUGAUCGGCCACACUGGAACUGAGACACGGUCCAGACUCCUAAGGGAGGCAGCAGUAGGGAAUCUUCCGCAAUGGGCGAAAGCUUGACGGAGCAACGCCGCGUGAGUGAUGAAGGUCUUCGGAUCGUAAAACUCUGUUAUUAGGGAAGAACAAAUGUGUAAGUAACUAUGCACGUCUUGACGGUACCUAAUCAGAAAGCCACGGCUAACUACGUG
rnacentral:rRNA from 1 species